UGACUUACAAAUCCCUGCAUUUCAGUAGAAGAUGCCUAACUCAGUUAUGAUGUUAUGGAGGACAAUGAUCUCAUUUGUAACGAAGAGGAACAAGAGGAUUGGACUGGCUACUCAUUUGCUCCUUCAGUAAAAGCUUAUUGAACCCUUACCAUGUGCUAGGCUCUGGAUGAGGUUCUAUGGUAGCAGAGAACCAGAGCCUUGUCUACAGGGUAUUCAGAGUAUUAGUGGAAGAAACCAACAUAUCAACAGAACUACCGUUUGCUUCUCUGCUUGAGCCCAGGAGAGAGCAAGACUGGUGGCCAAAGUGUUCGGACCUGGUUGGAACAGAACUUGCAUGCUUCCGCUUUUCCUUAAAGGGAAACAAAAACUAAA